rnacentral:lncRNA from 1 species
CCAGAACCAGGGUUAUGACUUGACUCACCCCAACAUCAGUCCAAUCUACGAUCUUCUGGAGCAUGUGUAGGGGCCAGUUCUGCAGACUCAAAGAUGUAGGAUCUCCACAACACAAGGCAACAACAAGAUAUCCAAGAUGAGUCCCAGUCAGGGCCCAGCAUCAACAGUGUAGCAGAAACCAGAGGCCUCAAACCAUACCAAUGACUCUGCAAUGAACACUUGCAAGUGAAGAUAUAUGGAGAUUUAGGUCAAAAGUGAAAAGAUUCUGGAAACUUGAACAUAUGUCAAGAGUUUCCUCUCUGCCGCAAAACUAGAAGAGAUAUCACUCUCUGUGGAAAGAAGCCUCCUAGCACAAUGGACCAUGGAGUGGCAUUUCAGAGAAACAAAGAGCUGUGGGUGGGAUGCAAGUCAGUGCACAUCAGGCUUUAUUUCCUGGGAAUGGAAGAGAAAAGGAAACCCAAGAGUAUGCAGAUCAUGCCAGGAAUUCCAUUUUGGAAGGAGGAUACUGUCUUCAAAGCAGCCAAUGACUCCCACUUCCCUUUGCUUUGAUAUACAGCCCAUCACCAGCUUCAUUAAAACUAUCCCCCAUCUUUUAUAACCUGAAGAUCUGAUCCCAAAUAAUUCUGUGGAAAUACCACGUCUCUUGGGACAAGUGAUAAAAUGAUGUUUCAUCUGUAUGUCAACAUGAGCAAAAGUGUCCAUUGAAAGGGGCUGGACGGAAACACGGUAGAGUCAAACAUUAUAAAUGAACAUUCUUUCUCCACUGUCUUCGAAAGAGAAGAAAAGAAUUUGUGGCCAGAUAAGGAGCCCAAGCCUGAGAUACUAUAGCAUUUUACAGCUUAGGGUCACCAGGAGGGGGACAGAGGGAGGGCAGGAUGGAGGAGUUAAGCAAGUGCUAGGCCAAGAAUUGACAGGGGAAAUGUGUGGUGUUGGUCCUUGGAGGCUGUGGGGUGAGAACAGG